GACGAACGCUGGCGGCGUGCUUAACACAUGCAAGUCGAACGGAAAGGCGCUGCUUUUGUGGGGUGCUCGAGUGGCGAACGGGUGAGUAACACGUGAGUAACCUGCCCUUGACUUUGGGAUAACUUCAGGAAACUGGGGCUAAUACCGGAGAGGAGCUCUUGCUGCAUGGUGGGGGUUGGAAAGUUUCGGCGGUGGGGGAUGGACUCGCGGCUUAUCAGCUUGUUGGUGGGGUAGUGGCUUACCAAGGCUUUGACGGGUAGCCGGCCUGAGAGGGUGACCGGCCACAUUGGGACUGAGAUACGGCCCAGACUCCUACGGGAGGCAGCAGUGGGGAAUAUUGCACAAUGGGCGGAAGCCUGAUGCAGCAACGCCGCGUGCGGGAUGACGGCCUUCGGGUUGUAAACCGCUUUCGCCUGUGACGAAGCGUGAGUGACGGUAAUGGGUAAAGAAGCACCGGCUAACUACGUG
rnacentral:rRNA from 1 species